rnacentral:lncRNA from 1 species
AAAAGCGAAAUAAAUUCAUACAUACUAUAAUACAGAUAGUCAAGGUAUGUAAUUUAAUUUACAAUGACAUGUGGGCCCCCAAAUGACAAAAGUGAACGAAGGCUGUGAACCUAUAAUUUUUGAGGAAGUAAAGCCAACUGUAGCCUUCGACUAUAUAAGCUAUCUACAAACUAUCCUGAGCCUGAAAUGGGUGGAAAGGAGGGUGAUGAGAUUAUAUAAUCUCAGUGAGUAAACAAAUAUCAUCUAAAAUAUCUAAAACCGAGUAAAUGGAGACAAUUAAAAUAGAUCAUCAUAAAAUGGUUCAUAACAUCAAAACACAUUUGAAAUCAUCUAAGCCAGUUACAUUUCAUCCAAAAUAUACAAUGAGGCUUAUGAAUCUCUUAAAAACUUGGCUCGUGCCAAAACUCAUUCUUGAGGAUACCUUGGCCGAGGCAUCUAACCGAGUUCACCAGGGCUGUUAAAAGGUCAUAUGCUCACAAAACACAUUUUUACGUUUAAAAGCAUAGCCGUUCCUUGGCGUUGGCUGAAUUCACUCUCACGUGGUGGUUCGAUGUGAAGUGAACUCUAAAAUUUACCUCAGGAGUUACCCUAUGCGCCUCUCGUACCGAGGUAAAAUAUAAUGGGGUUUAUCGUGCCCCUCUAAUAGGCUAGUCCACAGAAACCCACCCACUGCAGUAAGCUAAUCGAUAUCCCACCAAAUCAAUAAAAAUUCAAUAGCAUGAUAUGGCAAUUUUAUCAUUAUCCAGCCUAUCAAGGCAAACAACAAUUUAUACAUUUUCAACACAAAUACCCAUCCAGCCAUUCAUGCCCACAUUAUCAUAAGCCAUUCAAUUCAAAACAUAAUUUACAAUAUAGCAAGUAGUCUCCAAUUACUCCAUUUCCAAGUCAUCAUUAAAUUUCACAACAAUUUAUAGAAUCAUUUAAUUUAAACACAUUUUCCAUAAAAUUACAAAAUCGGAUAAAAACAUACUUUAGAUAAUUAAGACGAUAAUAAGGUUACUUACAAUAUCGGGAGUCAAAGUACUCCAAGUCCCAGUCUUCGGGUAUAACUUCUUUGCCUUUACAGGAGGAUUCACCACUUAGACAUAAUGCAUAAUUAAGCAAUUUACCACAUUUGUGCUAAACCGUUAUAAAACUAAUCUAGGCUCUAUAUGAAUGCAUGAAAUGGAAUGCGAAUUGUUCGGAUCAUCGUCUAAACACGGUGUUCUACAUAAAUUCAAUUGUGUACUUAAAUAAAACAAUAUUGGCCUAAUUCGAUCUAUCACCCGAUUAAUUGGUCAAUAUGUCCAAUUUAACUCCAAAUAACUCCAUUUCUCUCCCAAUACUCCAAAUCAUUAAACACAAUUUAAAUAACUUGAAAUGUGACAAAAUCACCCUCACAUUUUCUCUUGAAAAAUUAGGCCAUGGUGAGUGCUCUAACAAUAUAAUUUUUCUCGCUUGAUUCUCACACCAUAAAUCAUUCAUUCCUAAUCAAAUCACUUGAAAUUCAAUCAAAUUCAUCAUCAAUAUUCCACAUGGAAUAUUUGGCCAAUGAAGAAUCUGUGAAGAAUAUGUGAUUUUUCUUACUUGUUUUCCUUCCAAACAUGAUAAAUCAACUAAAAACACUAAAAUAUCUCAAAAUCUAACCAAAUAAAUCAUCAAAUCUUCUCCCUCUAAAUUCGGUCAGCCAUGAAUCCUUCAUGAUAUCUUGUGAUUCAACCAUGGAAAAUGUACAAGAAUGCAUAGGAAAGAUAGAUCACAAGCUAGAGUUAAGAAAUUUUACCUUUGAUGUCUUGAUUCCUUGAAAUCUAGUGAUUUUCCCUUGAAUUUCUUAGCUAGGGUUUUGUUCUUCUUCUUUUCUUCCCUU